rnacentral:rRNA from 1 species
UACGUAGGGCGCAAGCGUUGUCCGGAUUUAUUGGGCGUAAAGAGCGUGUAGGCGGCCAGAUAGGUCUGCUGUGAAAACUCGAGGCUCAACCUCGAGAUGUCGGCGGAAACCAUUUGGCUAGAGUCCGGAAGAGGAGAAUGGAAUUCCUGGUGUAGCGGUGAAAUGCGCAGAUAUCAGGAAGAACACCCGUGGCUAAGGCGGUUCUCUAGUACGGUACUGACGCUGAGACGCGAAAGCGUGGGGAGCGAACAGG